UGCCGGAGUGGCGAAAUCGGCAGACGCACAGGACUUAAAAUCCUGCGGAGCUAACACUCCGUACCGGUUCAAGUCCGGUCUCCGGCACCAA
rnacentral:tRNA from 1 species